rnacentral:rRNA from 1 species
CCUACGGGAGGCAGCAGUGGGGAAUAUUGGGCAAUGGAGGAAACUCUGACCCAGCGACGCCGCGUGCGGGAUGAAGGCCUUCGGGUUGUAAACCGCUUUCAGUAGGGAAGAAGCGAAAGUGACGGUACCUACAAAAGAAGCACCGGCUAACUAUGUG